rnacentral:lncRNA from 1 species
GCCAUAGACUUAAAGACUCAGCUUCUUAAAUCUCAUAGGACUACUCUAUUCUACUAGGAUCGAUAGAUUCCAUCUAGGUGUACACUGUACUCCUACAGUAGACUAAUUAUCGCCAACGUCCACUACAAAGGCUCAUUGAGACUCAUGUUUAUAUGUAGUCAAACUCUAGCAGCCUCACGAUGAGCAACUAUAGCACCNNN